rnacentral:rRNA from 1 species
CCUACGGGAGGCAGCAGUGAGGAAUAUUGGUCAAUGGCCGUAAGGCUGAACCAGCCAAGUCGCGUGAGUGAAGAAGUAAUUCCUUAUGUAAAGCUCUAUCAGCAGGGAAGAAAAUGACGGUACCUGAGUACUAAGCCCCGGCUAACUACGUGCCAGCAGCCGCGGUAAUACGUAGGGGGCAAGCGUUAUCCGGAUUUACUGGGUGUAAAGGGAGCGUAGACGGGAGUGCAAGUCUGGAGUGAAAGGCGGGGGCUCAACCCCCGGACUGCUGUGGAAACUGUACGGCUGGAGUGCAGGAGAGGUAAGUGGAAUGCCUAGUGUAGCGGUGAAAUGCGUAGAUAUUAGGAGGAACGCCAGUGGCGAAGGCGGCUUACUGGACUGUAACUGACGUUGAGGCUCGAAAGCGUGGGGAGCAAACAGGAUUAGAUACCCCGGUAGUC